UCCCAGCGGUCCAAGUCUCAUCCACUUUUAUUGGGUCUAAAACAUCCGUAGCUUGUUUUGCAAGUCUCUUGUGAAAUCCGACUUCUUAAGGGUUGAAGUGCAAGAGAUACUGCAUUGCUAGAGACCGGGAGAUGUAAAGAGUACGAAUAGGGUAGCGGUUAAAUGUGUUGAUCCUAUUUGGACUAACAAUAGCGAAGGCACUUUACAAGAACGGAUCUGACAGUGAGGGAUGAAGGCUAGGGGCGCAAAACGG
rnacentral:rRNA from 1 species